AGAGUUUGAUCCUGGCUCAGGAUGAACGCUAGCGGCAGGCUUAACACAUGCAAGUCGAGGGGCAGCAUAAUGGAUAGCAAUAUCUAUGGUGGCGACCGGCGCACGGGUGCGUAACGCGUAUGCAACCUACCUUUAACAGGGGGAUAACACUGAGAAAUUGGUACUAAUACCCCAUAAUAUCAUAGAAGGCAUCUUUUAUGGUUGAAAAUUCCGAUGGUUAGAGAUGGGCAUGCGUUGUAUUAGCUAGUUGGUGAGGUAACGGCUCACCAAGGCAACGAUACAUAGGGGGACUGAGAGGUUAACCCCCCACAUUGGUACUGAGACACGGACCAAACUCCUACGGGAGGCAGCAGUGAGGAAUAUUGGUCAAUGGACGCAAGUCUGAACCAGCCAUGCCGCGUGCAGGAUGACGGCUCUAUGAGUUGUAAACUGCUUUUGUACGAGGGUAAACGCAGAUACGUGUAUCUGUCUGAAAGUAUCGUACGAAUAAGGAUCGGCUAACUCCGUGCCAGCAGCCGCGGUAAUACGGAGGAUCCAAGCGUUAUCCGGAUUUAUUGGGUUUAAAGGGUGCGUAGGCGGUUUGAUAAGUUAGAGGUGAAAUACCGGUGCUCAACACCGGAACUGCCUCUAAUACUGUUGAACUAGAGAGUAGUUGCGGUAGGCGGAAUGUAUGGUGUAGCGGUGAAAUGCUUAGAGAUCAUACAGAACACCGAUUGCGAAGGCAGCUUACCAAACUAUAUCUGACGUUGAGGCACGAAAGCGUGGGGAGCAAACAGGAUUAGAUACCCUGGUAGUCCACGCAGUAAACGAUGAUAACUCGUUGUCGGCGAUACACAGUCGGUGACUAAGCGAAAGCGAUAAGUUAUCCACCUGGGGAGUACGUUCGCAAGAAUGAAACUCAAAGGAAUUGACGGGGGCCCGCACAAGCGGAGGAACAUGUG
rnacentral:rRNA from 1 species